rnacentral:rRNA from 1 species
UAGGGAAUCUUCCGCAAUGGACGCAAGUCUGACGGAGCAACGCCGCGUGAGUGAAGAAGGAUUUCGGUUCGUAAAACUCUGUUGUUAGAGAAGAACAGCGCAUAGAGUAACUGUUAUGCGUGUGACGGUAUCUAACCAGAAAGCCACGGCUAACUACGUGCCAGCAGCCGCGGUAAUACGUAGGUGGCAAGCGUUGUCCGGAUUUAUUGGGCGUAAAGCGAGCGCAGGCGGUCAAUUAAGUCUGAUGUGAAAGCCCCCGGCUCAACCGGGGAGGGUCAUUGGAAACUGUUUGACUUGAGUGCAGAAAAUGAGAGUGGAAUUCCAUGUGUAGCGGUGAAAUGCGUAGAUAUAUGGAGGAACACCAGUGGCGAAGGCGACUCUCUGGUCUGUAACUGACGCUGAGGCUCGAAAGCGUGGGUAGCAAACAGG